rnacentral:rRNA from 1 species
AGUCGAGCGAAUCGACGGGAGCUUGCUCCCUGAGAUUAGCGGCGGACGGGUGAGUAACACGUGGGCAACCUGCCUAUAAGACUGGGAUAACUUCGGGAAACCGGAGCUAAUACCGGAUACGUUCUUUUCUCGCAUGAGAGAAGAUGGAAAGACGGUUUACGCUGUCACUUAUAGAUGGGCCCGCGGCGCAUUAGCUAGUUGGUGAGGUAAUGGCUCACCAAGGCGACGAUGCGUAGCCGACCUGAGAGGGUGAUCGGCCACACUGGGACUGAGACACGGCCCAGACUCCUACGGGAGGCAGCAGUAGGGAAUCUUCCGCAAUGGACGAAAGUCUGACGGAGCAACGCCGCGUGAACGAAGAAGGCCUUCGGGUCGUAAAGUUCUGUUGUUAGGGAAGAACAAGUACCAGAGUAACUGCUGGUACCUUGACGGUACCUAACCAGAAAGCCACGGCUAACUACGUGCCAGCAGCCGCGGUAAUACGUAGGUGGCAAGCGUUGUCCGGAAUUAUUGGGCGUAAAGCGCGCGCAGGUGGUUCCUUAAGUCUGAUGUGAAAGCCCACGGCUCAACCGUGGAGGGUCAUUGGAAACUGGGGAACUUGAGUGCAGAAGAGGAAAGUGGAAUUCCAAGUGUAGCGGUGAAAUGCGUAGAGAUUUGGAGGAACACCAGUGGCGAAGGCGACUUUCUGGUCUGUAACUGACACUGAGGC